GGGUUUGUUCCGCGUCGAUUUUCGAUCAUGGGAAAGGAGCAGCCGUUCGGCUUUGUGUUCGCAGGCUAGCAUGCUAACACGCUAACAACGGACGCGUCCGUGUAACUAACCCACUUGUUAUUUAGUUGGACAGUCAAUGUAACAACCUCGGCAGACUCGUUAAAGAGGAAUAAAACAGCCGUUGGAGGUUUCGUGAUAAUCCACGUCCCAGAGACGCUCCGAGCAGGUGGGAUGCGGCGUUAGGUGCACGGGGACCGUGACGUGUGGGUCCCUCUGCGACUAGCGAGCCGUUGAUUAUGGUUGUCAAACACCGCUGUAUGGCCUGUUUUUUUGGGAUUGGCAGCUUGAAAAUGGAGCCCCUGGCGCAGCUGCCGGGCUGCGGCCUAGCUACACCUCGUGCCUUGCGAAGCCACGGUGUUUGCCUGCUUUAUGGGCCGGUUGGUGUUUCACCCAACCCGCCUGCCGAGAAACACCUCCCCGAAUUUCCCGAAAGAGAUCAACACAGCCAUAACUGGAAAUCAUAUGGACGAAGAAAUGAGUCGCCAGACUGCCACAGCGCUGCCCGCCGGAACAUCGAAGUGCACUCCCUCCCAGCGAGUGCCAGCACUGCCGGGCACCACUGCCUCCAACAGCGACCUGGCCAGCCUGUUCGAGUGCCCCGUCUGCUUCGACUACGUGUUGCCACCCAUCCUGCAGUGCCAGAGCGGCCACCUGGUCUGCAGCAAUUGCCGGCCCAAGCUUACGUGCUGCCCCACCUGCCGUGGACCUCUGGGGUCCAUCCGCAACUUGGCCAUGGAGAAGGUAGCCAACUCUGUGCUGUUCCCCUGCAAGUACGCCUCUUCCGGUUGUGAGGUCACACUGCCACACACGGAGAAGCCGGAGCAUGAGGAGCUGUGUGAGUUCCGGCCGUAUUCCUGCCCCUGCCCCGGGGCAUCCUGUAAGUGGCAGGGCUCACUGGACGCCGUCAUGCCCCACCUGAUGCACCAGCACAAGUCCAUCACCACGCUGCAGGGCGAGGACAUCGUCUUCCUGGCCACGGACAUCAACCUGCCGGGCGCCGUGGACUGGGUCAUGAUGCAGUCCUGCUUCGGCUUCCACUUCAUGCUGGUGCUGGAGAAGCAGGAGAAGUACGAUGGCCACCAGCAGUUCUUUGCCAUCGUGCAGCUCAUUGGAACGCGCAAACAGGCCGAGAACUUUGCUUACCGCCUGGAGCUCAACGGACACCGCCGCCGGCUCACCUGGGAGGCCACGCCCCGCUCCAUCCACGAGGGCAUCGCCACGGCUAUCAUGAACAGCGACUGCCUGGUGUUUGACACGUCUAUUGCUCAGCUGUUUGCCGAGAACGGUAAUUUGGGCAUCAAUGUGACCAUCUCCAUGUGUUGAAUAGCAUACACACAGAGCACCUCUUCAAGGACACCUAGGAGUUCUGUUCUUUGAGAGAACUUUCCUCUUGAACCUACCCAUGGUAGUGCUUAGCAGCUAUGUGUUGGGCCCACAUGUGAGUUGCAUGGGUAGUUGUGUCUCAGUGCAGGCCCUGCACUGAGACACAGAUCUUUGUCACCUUGAAGGGACAUUGGUGGGCCCAGGAAAUAGGAGACACCCAUGUGGAGAACCUGCAGAUCAGCAGAUCUUCAUCGCAGAAACUCUAAUUCCCUUGAAUACGACCCAGAUUGUGUGCUCUUUAUAUAAACUACACAUUUGCACCAACUGUAAUUCUCAAUAAUAUUUGGACUUUUUCCAAGCUUCAAUUAGUUGUGUGUUAGCUAGCAUUGAUAAGCUAUGACGGGGAGGCUGGGCAUUAAUUCCUCUGCAAAACAGCCCGAGGUGCUUCUGUGCGAACGUAACGGGACACACGCACAUCAUUGGUGGGUCAGUGGGAAGGAGGGGGGUGUUUUUAAAGCUGUGGGAUAUUUGAAGCAUCAGAGGGCUGGUCUUAAUUUUCUAAGUUGGUCUAAAUUCCAUAAUUUCAGUUCCAUUCAAGGUGAAAUAGCAGCUUGUAUCAGUUUUGUUUAAUUUGUGUCCCUGCUGUUUUCUUGAUUUCCAUCAAGGAAAACAGCUGCACAGAUUUCGCUCUGUGGACAGAUCCGCUGGCUUAGACAAAACGCAUCCUGACACUGCAGAAGGCUGACGGAUCCCUCCUCAACAUAUAGGUCUGUUCAAGCUAUAUUCAGUCUCUGUGCAUCACUACAAUUUACUUUCUUUGUGUCAUUAAAAUAAAUCUAUCUUUUUCAUA